rnacentral:rRNA from 1 species
AAGGGCACCACAAGAACGCGUGGAGCAUGUGGCUUAAUUUGACUCAACGCGGGGAAUCUUACCGGGUCCGGACACACUGAGGAUUGACAGGCGCAAGGAGCCCUUGGGCUCUGUAAAUUUGCUAGUCCUUUCAUGAUUGUGUGAUAGGUGGUGCAUGGCCGUUCUUAGUUCGUGGAAUAAUCUGUCUGCUUAAUUGCGUUUUUUCAAAGUAGCCUUGGCGUCCGUUAUGCCUUCUGAGUGUGGUCAACGCUUGUCUUGCUUUUCAGUGGGGCGGCUUGGUUGCACCAGUUAGGUGGACUGUCCAGGGCCUUCUGAAACGAACGAGACCCCAACCCUUCUUUUUCAGUGACAAACAACGAAUUGUUGUUACCUUUUUUGGCUUGUUAGUUCUUGGGCUUGCUCAAGGCUGCUUGUCCAUUUCACGUCGCUGUUAACAGAAGGGGACUGUUACAUCCAAAUGUAAAGGAAGGUUGGGGCAAUAACAGGUCUGUGAUGCCCUUAGAUGUUCCGGGCUGCACACGUGCUACAAUGAUCUAUGCACUAAGCAUCUUUUAGUUCCGUAAUGCUCAUGUCUUUCUUUUAACCGAGGAAGCGUGAUGCAUGCGGCAUGCCUACUUCGAGAGGUAGUAGGUAAUCAUUUGGUAAUAUAGAUUUCCUUUGCAUUGUGACAUCAGGCUCUCUGAGUCUUGGUGUCACGUGUUUUCGAAUUAUGACUUCUUAGUGGGGACAGACCAUUGUUAAUUGUUGGUCUCGCUUUAACUAGGAAUGCCUUGUACAGGUGGUUCAACAGACCGCCUGGAAUACGUCCCUGCCCUUUGUACACACCGCCCGUCA